rnacentral:rRNA from 1 species
CGAUGCAACGCGAAGAACCUUACCUGGUCUUGACAUCCCGGAGACCCUUAGGAAACGUAGGGGGUGCUUCCAUCUGGAAGAAUCUGGAGACAGGUGCUGCAUGGCUGUCGUCAGCUCGUGUCGUGAGAUGUUGGGUUAAGUCCCGCAACGAGCGCAACCCUUGCCUUUAGUUGCCAGCAGUUCGGCUGGGCACUCUAAAGGGACUGCCGGUGUUAAACCGGAGGAAGGUGGGGAUGACGUCAAGUCCUCAUGGCCUUUAUGACCAGGGCUACACACGUACUACAAUGGCCGAUACAAAGGGCAGCGACACUGCGAGGUGAAGCCAAUCCCGUAAAAUCGGUCUCAGUCCGGAUUGGAGUCUGCAACUCGACUCCAUGAAGUUGGAAUCGCUAGUAAUCGUGGAUCAGCAUGCCACGGUGAAUACGUUCCCGGGCCUU